rnacentral:rRNA from 1 species
UACGGGGGGUGCGAGCGUUAAUCGGAAUAACUGGGCGUAAAGGGCACGCAGGCGGACUUUUAAGUGAGAUGUGAAAUCCCCGGGCUUAACCUGGGAAUUGCAUUUCAUACUGGGAGUCUCGAGUGCUUUAGGGAGGGGUAGAAUUCCACGUGUAGCGGUGAAAUGCGUAGAGAUGUGGGAGAAUACCGAAGGCGAAGGCAGCCCCUUGGGAAUGUAUUGACGCUCAUGUUCGAAAGCGUGGGGAGCAAACAGA